rnacentral:rRNA from 1 species
GACCUCGGAUCAGACGUGAAUACCCGCUGAACUUAAGCAUAUCACUGA